UCUGGUUGAUCCCGGCAGAGGUUACUGCUAUCGAGGUUCGGCUAAGCCAUGCGAGUCGAAUGUAGCAAUACAUGGCGUACUGCUCAGUAACACGUGGACAACCUACCCUUAGGUCGGGGAUAAACCCGGGAAACUGGGUAUAAUACCCGAUAGUCCUCGAAUGCUGGAAUGCAUCGAGGUCUAAAGCUCCGGCGCCUAAGGAUGGGUCUGCGGCCUAUCAGGUAGUAGUGGGUGUAGCGUACCUACUAGCCUACGACGGGUACGGGUUGUGAGAGCAAGAGCCCGGAGAUGGAUUCUGAGACACGAAUCCAGGCCCUACGGGGUGCAGCAGGCGCGAAAACUUUACAAUGCCGGCAACGGCGAUAAGGGGACCUCGAGUGCCAGGUUACAAAUCUGGCUGUCGUGAUGCCUAAAAAGCAUUGCAUAGCAAGGGCCGGGCAAGACCGGUGCCAGCCGCCGCGGUAACACCGGCGGCUCGAGUGGUAACCGUUAUUACUGGGUCUAAAGGUCUGUAGCCGGCCGGAUAAGUCUCUUGGGAAAUCCAGCAGCUCAACUGUUGGGCUUUCAGGAGAUACUGUCUGGCUCGAGGCCGGGAGAGGUGAGAGGUACUUCAGGGGUAGGGGGAAAUCUUGUAUCUGAAGGACCACC
rnacentral:rRNA from 1 species